UGUGUACAAAUAGUUUUUGAGUUGUUGAGAGUUGGAUAAGUGUAGAGGAAAAUAAAGAAAAUGCAAGUCAACACAGAUUAAACUAUUGGUUAAUUGGCUCUCCCUAAGCUGUUUGUAGCAGAUAAUACAACUACUUUAUUGGAAUGAAGUUUAGUCAAUAGCCUUUUUUUUUUGUUUUUAUGGUGGUAAUGUGGAAUUCGUAGUUAUGCAUAUUAAUUAAUAAUUGCGAAAAAAAAAACCAUAUAAUCCUAGUCUCUUUUUUUUACUAUGAAAAUAUAAUCCGACUAAAUAUUUCUUAUAAUAAAAUAAUGUGAUAACUUCAUAAAGUCAUAUAAAAC
rnacentral:lncRNA from 1 species